rnacentral:rRNA from 1 species
GACAGAGGGUGCAAACGUUGUUCGGAAUUACUGGGCGUAAAGCGCGUGUAGGCUGCUCGGAAAGUCGGAUGUGAAAGCCCUGGGCUCAACCUAGGAAGUGCAUUCGAAACUUCCGAGCUGGAGUGCUGGAGAGGAAGGCGGAAUUCUCGGUGUAGAGGUGAAAUUCGUAGAUAUCGAGAGGAACACCGGUGGCGAAGGCGGCCUUCUGGACAGCCACUGACGCUGAGACGCGAAAGCGUGGGGAGCGAACAGG